rnacentral:rRNA from 1 species
AUUGAACGCUGGCGGCAGGCCUAACACAUGCAAGUCGAGCGAGCGGCGGACGGGGGAGUAAUGUCUGGGAAACUGCCUGAUGUAGGGGGGUAACUACUGGAAACGGUAGCUAAUACCGCAUACCAUCAGAUGUGCGCCGAUGGGAUUAGCGAGUUGUGGGGGUAACGGCGCACCUAGGCGACGAUCCCUAGCUGGUCUGAGAGGAUGACCAGCCACACGGGAACUGAGACACGGUCCAGACUCCUACGGGAGGCAGCAGUGGGGAAUAUUGCACAAUGGGCGCAAGCCUGAUGCAGCCAUGCCGCGUGUGUGAAGAAGGCCUUCGGGUUGUAAAGCACUUUCAGUGGGGAGGCGUUACCCGCAGAAGAAGCACCGGCUAACUCCGUGCCAGCAGCCGCGGUAAUAC